rnacentral:rRNA from 2 species
AGAAUCAACGCUGGCGGCGUGCCUAACACAUGCAAGUCGAACGCGAAAGCCCCGCAAGGGGCAAGUAGAGUGGCAAACGGGUGAGUAACACGUGGGUGACCUGCCUUCGAGCGGGGGAUAACGUCCCGAAAGGGACGCUAAUACCGCAUAACAUCCUGCCUUUGAAGAGGUGGAGAUCAAAGCUGGGGAUCGCAAGACCCGGCACUUGAAGAGGGGCCCGCGCCUGAUUAGCUAGUUGGUGGGGUAAUGGCCUACCAAGGCAACGAUCAGUA